UUAAAAAUUGAUCCAAUCAAAUUGAGUCAGAAGAGUGGCUUUACUGGCAUGUGCUCCUGAUAAACUGUUUCAGAUUUCUCUUUUGAAGUCUUGGUGACACCAGUGAUUUUACUCUCUUCCCUUGUUCGGGAUUGACAGCAAUGCCAACGAUCUCACUCUCCUCUUCUUCAUUUGUGCCUUGGCGAUACCGUCGAUCUCACUCUCUCCCCUUAGUUCGCGUUUGGCGGAGAUCACGACAGCCACUAGGAUCUUUGCACGGGGUACUUCUUCUUCAAGGUCCCACUAAAUCUGGCAUCUAUGAAUGGCAUCCCACUCGUCUUGCCGUUUACUCUGUCAAAUUGACAUCCACUACCGAUUAGCAUCAUAUAUUAGGCCACCCAUCCUACUCUAUUCUACGUCAUAUUAGCAAUGCUUUUAAUUUAAAUAUUCCAAAGACAAUUUCUUUUCACUCUAAUUCAUGUGAUUGUAAUAAGAGCCACAAAUUGUCAUUCCAUCAAAAUACCAUUCAAUCUCAUGACCCUCAGGGUGUUCUUUAUA